GACAGAGGUCCCAAGCGUUAGGCGGAAUCACUGGGCUUAAAGCGUGUGUAGGCGGAUUUGUAAGUACCUUGUGAAAGCCCCCGGCUCAACUGGGGAGGGUCACGCGAUACUGAUCGACUCGAAGGCAGGAGAGGGUAGUGGAAUUCCCGGUGUAGUGGUGAAAUGCGUAGAUAUCGGGAGGAACACCAGUGGCGAAGGCGACUACCUGGCCUGUUCUUGACGCUGAGGCGCGAAAGCUAGGGGAGCAAACGGG
rnacentral:rRNA from 1 species